rfam:Triticum urartu cultivar G1812 contig423376, whole genome shotgun sequence.
GUACUACUCCCUCCGUUUAAAAAAGUUUGUUCCUCAAAUAAAUGUAUCUAACAUCAAAUUAGUGUUAAAUACAUCCAUUUGAGGAAAAAACUUGGGACAAGCUUUUUCGGACGGAGGAAGUAUUAU